rnacentral:rRNA from 1 species
AACGAACGCUGGCGGCAGGCUUAACACAUGCAAGUCGAGCGCCCCGCAAGGGGAGCGGCAGACGGGUGAGUAACGCGUGGGAAUCUACCCAUCUCUACGGAAUAACCCAUGGAAACGUGUGCUAUACCGUAUACGUCCUUCGGGAGAAAAAUUUAUCGGAGAUGGAUGAGCCCGCGUUGGAUUAGCUAGUUGGUGGGGUAAAGGCCUACCAAGGCGACGAUCCAUAGCUGGUCUGAGAGGAUGAUCAGCCACACUGGGACUGAGACACGGCCCAGACUCCUACGGGAGGCAGCAGUGGGGAAUAUUGGACAAUGGGCGCAAGCCUGAUCCAGCCAUGCCGCGUGAGUGAUGAAGGCCCUAGGGUUGUAAAGCUCUUUCACCGGUGAAGAUAAUGACGGUAACCGGAGAAGAAGCCCCGGCUAACUUCGUGCCAGCCGCCGCAGUAAUAC